GAUGAACGCUGGCGGCGUGCCUAAUACAUGCAAGUCGAGCGAACAGACGAGGAGCUUGCUCCUCUGACGUUAGCGGCGGACGGGUGAGUAACACGUGGAUAACCUCCCUAUAAGACUGGGAUAACUUCGGGAAACCGGAGCUAAUACCGGAUAAUAUAUUGAACCGCAUGGUUCAAUAGUGAAAGACGGUUUUGCUGUCACUUAUAGAUGGAUCCGCGCCGCAUUAGCUAGUUGGUAAGGUAACGGCUUACCAAGGCAACGAUGCGUAGCCGACCUGAGAGGGUGAUCGGCCACACUGGAACUGAGACACGGUCCAGACUCCUACGGGAGGCAGCAGUAGGGAAUCUUCCGCAAUGGGCGAAAGCCUGACGGAGCAACGCCGCGUGAGUGAUGAAGGUCUUCGGAUCGUAAAACUCUGUUAUUAGGGAAGAACAAAUGUGUAAGUAACUGUGCACGUCUUGACGGUACCUAAUCAGAAAGCCACGGCUAACUACGUG
rnacentral:rRNA from 1 species